AGCAGUUCUGGCACCACCAACAUGGAGAUUGCCAGUGGGUGAAGGGGCAAAACGGACUCGAACUUGUCCUUGGGCAGCAGCAUCUGCCUUGGAAGAGACGGAGAAAUUCCUCCACCUCCUUGGAGCAGAAGAACAAAGUAGAAGUCGAUGCUUGUGGAUAUGAUGAUGAUUAUGCUUAGAAAGAAGAGCAGACGGGCGCCAAAUUGGAGGGGCAAUAUCUGGUAUUACUCUGAUUCUUAUCAAUGGCGUCCCUCCAACAACACUCGCCAUCGUCAGACUGAUCGAUGAGAAUAGCUGUCUCGAGAGAGAUAUAUCAUUUUGUUUGGAGUAACG
rnacentral:misc_RNA from 1 species